CCUACGGGCGGCAGCAGUGGGGAAUCUUGCACAAUGGGGGAAACCCUGAUGCAGCGACGCCGCGUGAGUGAAGAAGUAUUUCGGUAUGUAAAGCUCUAUCAGCCGGGAAGAAAAUGACAGUACCUGACCAAGAAGCCACGGCUAACUAAGUGCCAGCAGCCGCGGUAAUACGUAGGGGGCAAGCGUUAUCCGGAUAUACUGGGUGUAAAGGGAGCGUAGACGGUUAUGUAAGUCUGGAGUGAAAUGCCGGGGCUUAACCCCGGAACUGCUUUGGAAACUGUGCAGCUAGAGUGCAGGAGAGGUAAGUGGAAUUCCUAUUGUAGCGGUGGAAUGCGUAGAUAUUAGGAGGAACACCAGUGGCGAAGGCGGCUUACUGGACUGUAACUGACGUUGAGGCUCGAAAGCGUGGGGAGCAAACAGGAUUAGAUACCCCAGUAGUC
rnacentral:rRNA from 1 species